rnacentral:rRNA from 1 species
UCUUCGGAUCGAGUGGCGGACGGGUGAGUAACACGUUGGUACCUACCCCGAAGUGGGGAAUAACUGCCCGAAAGGGUGGCUAAUACCGCAUAAUACCGCAAGGUUAAAGCAGUAAUGCGCUUCGGGAGGGGCCUGCGUCCCAUUAGCUAGUUGGUAGUGUAAUAGACUACCAAGGCGACGAUGGGUAGCUGGAUCGAGAGGUUGACCAGCCACACUGGGACUGAGAUACGGCCCAG